rnacentral:rRNA from 1 species
AGUGAACGCUGGCGGUAGGCCUAACACAUGCAAGUCGAACGGCAGCACAGUAAGAGCUUGCUCUUACGGGUGGCGAGUGGCGGACGGGUGAGGAAUACAUCGGAAUCUACUUUUUCGUGGGGGAUAACGUAGGGAAACUUACGCUAAUACCGCAUACGACCUACGGGUGAAAGUAGGGGAUCUUCGGACCUUGCGCGAUUGAAUGAGCCGAUGUCGGAUUAGCUGGUUGGCGGGGUAAAGGCCCACCAAGGCGACGAUCCGUAGCUGGUCUGAGAGGAUGAUCAGCCACACUGGAACUGAGACACGGUCCAGACUCCUACGGGAGGCAGCAGUGGGGAAUAUUGGACAAUGGGCGCAAGCCUGAUCCAGCCAUACCGCGUGGGUGAAGAAGGCCUUCGGGUUGUAAAGCCCUUUUGUUGGGAAAGAAAAGCAGCAGGUUAAUACCCCGCUGUUCUGACGGUACCCAAAGAAUAAGCACCGGCUAACUUCGU